rnacentral:rRNA from 1 species
CCUACGGGUGGCUGCAGUGGGGAAUAUUGGGCAAUGGGCGCAAGCCUGACCCAGCAACGUCGCGUGAAGGAUGACGGCUCUCGGGUUGUUAACCUCUUUUUUUAGGGACGAAGAAAGUGACGGUACCUGAGGAUUAAGCCUCGGCUAACUACGUGCCAGCAGCCGCGGUAAUACGUAGGCGGCAAGCGUUCUCAGGAUUUACUGGGUGUAAAGGGCGUGUAGGCGGAACUGCAAGUCAGAGGUGAAAACCACGGCUCAACCUGUGGCCUGCAGUGGAAACUGUAGUUCUUGAGUACGGGAGAGGCAGACGGAAUUCGUGGUGUAGCGGUGAAAUGCGUAGAUAUCAGGAGGAACACCGAUGGCGAAGGCAGUAUGCUGGACAGCAACUGACGCUGAGGCGCGAAAGCGUGGGUAACAAACAGGAUUAGAUACCCUAGUAGUC